UACGGAGGGGGCUAGCGUUGCUCGGAAUUACUGGGCGUAAAGCGCACGUAGGCGGACUGUUAAGUCGGGGGUGAAAGCCUGUGGCUCAACCACAGAAUUGCCUUCGAUACUGUAGAGCUUGAGACCGGAAGAGGUAAGUGGAACUGCGAGUGUAGAGGUGAAAUUCGUAGAUAUUCGGAAGAACACCAGUGGCGAAGGCGACUCACUGGACACAUAUUGACGCUGAGGUGCGAAAGCGUGGGGAGCAAACAGG
rnacentral:rRNA from 1 species